rnacentral:lncRNA from 10 species
CCCCAUCUCUACUAAAAAUACAAAAAUUAGCCAGGCCUGGUGGCACAUGCCUGUAAUCUCAGCUACUCGAGAGUCUGAGGCACGAGAAUCACUUGAGUUAGUCUCCCGUUCUUCCCCAAACCAAUAGAAGCUGCAAUAAAGAAAUGUUCGAAAGGUGGUAAUCCACAAGGACAAGGAGAACAGGACAGAAGGAAAUAAUGAAUGAAAGAUGUGGGGUUUUUUUUGGAAUAAAGGAAGGGAAGUGAUGGAAGAGCAGUAAUUGCCUUAGCAGAAAGGAUAGAGCUACAACCCAGCUCUCAACAUGGAGAUACCUGUGAUUAAUGAACCAGUUUGCCCCAUGGAACUCAGCACCAUGAGAAAUGAAGCUCCUGACUUGAGAACACCAGACAGUGGCAAGACCUGGGAUAGAAAAGGCAUGUAAAUACAUGCCUAUAUUACUGAACUUGGAGAGCUUGACCUCCUUUCUCCAUCCUGCCUCUGGUGCUAUCGUGUGCAUAUUACCUGGCUGGGAGCUUAGGGAGUCCCCUCGAGAAAAGACAGGUGCAUAAAUACACACACCUGGAGAAAAGCAUUGAUUCAGCUUCAGUAACCCAGCAUAUACUUCUUCAGGGUCUCAUCCCUGUCCCCACAGGACACCAUCAACCUGGAGGGACCGGAAAACACGCAUCACAGGGAGUGAGCCACUCUGUAGUUGAGAAGUCAAUUUCAUACUAGAGCUGAAUGGUUUUACGGUCCGCAGCUGUAUCCAAGAAGGGCGAGGGGGAAAAUUCCAUGCCUCACUGGUACCAGGUA